rnacentral:tRNA from 1 species
UCCUUGAUGGUCCAGUGGCUAAGACUCCACUCUCCCAAUGCAGGGGGUCUGGGUUAGAUCCCUGGUCAGGGAA